rnacentral:rRNA from 1 species
AACGAACGCUGGCGGCAGGCCUAACACAUGCAAGUCGAACGCCCGUAGCAAUACGGGAGUGGCAGACGGGUGAGUAACGCGUGGGAACGUGCCCUUCGGUUCGGAAUAACUCAGGGAAACUUGAGCUAAUACCGGAUACGUCCGUAAGGAGAAAGAUUUAUCGCCGAAGGAUCGGCCCGCGUCGGAUUAGCUAGUUGGUGAGGUAACGGCCCACCAAGGCGACGAUCCGUAGCUGGUCUGAGAGGANGAUCAGCCACACUGGGACUGAGACACGGCCCAGACUCCUACGGGAGGCAGCAGUGGGGAAUAUUGGACAAUGGGCGAAAGCCUGAUCCAGCCAUGCCGCGUGAGUGAAGAAGGCCUUAGGGUUGUAAAGCUCUUUCAGCGGGAAGAUAAUGACGGUACCCGCAGAAGAAGCCCCGGCUAACUUCGUGCCAGCAGCAGCCG